AAGGAAAGGAGACAAGGGCACAUGAAGGAUGCCUUGGCUGCCGGAGGCGAAGAAGGACGUGACAAGCUGCGAUAAGCCGCGGGGAGGAGCAAAUAUCCCCCGAUCC
rnacentral:rRNA from 1 species